UGAGGAAUAUUGGUCAAUGGGCGAGAGCCUGAACCAGCCAAGUCGCGUGAAGGAAGACAGUCCUAAGGAUUGUAAACUUCUUUUAUACGGGAAUAACGGGCGAUACGAGUAUUGCAUUGAAUGUACCGUAAGAAUAAGCAUCGGCUAACUCCGUGCCAGCAGCCGCGGUAAUACGGAGGAUGCGAGCGUUAUCCGGAUUUAUUGGGUUUAAAGGGUGCGUAGGUUGUUCGGUAAGUCAGCGGUGAAACCUGAGCGCUCAACGUUCAGCCUGCCGUUGAAACUGCCGGGCUUGAGUUCAGUGGCGGCAGGCGGAAUUCGUGGUGUAGCGGUGAAAUGCAUAGAUAUCACGAGGAACUCCGAUUGCGAAGGCAGCUUGCCAUACUGCGACUGACACUGAAGCACGAAGGCGUGGGUACCAAACAGGAUUAGAUACCCUGGUAGUCCACGCAGUAAACGAUGAUUACUAGGAGUUUGCGAUAUACCGUCAAGCUUCCACGGCGAAAGCGUUAAGUAAUCCACCUGGGGAGUACGCCGGCAACGGUG
rnacentral:rRNA from 1 species